UACGAAGGGGGCUAGCGUUGCUCGGAAUUACUGGGCGUAAAGGGAGCGUAGGCGGAUAGUUAAGUCAGAGGUGAAAGCCCAGGGCUCAACCUUGGAAUUGCCUUUGAUACUGGCUAUCUUGAGUAUGGGAGAGGUAAGCGGAACUCCGAGUGUAGAGGUGAAAUUCGUAGAUAUUCGGAAGAACACCAGUGGCGAAGGCGGCUUACUGGCCCAUUACUGACGCUGAGGCUCGAAAGCGUGGGGAGCAAAC
rnacentral:rRNA from 1 species